GUAGCUUAAGCCAAAGCAUGGCAUUGAAGACGCCAAGAUGGCCAUCACCAC
rnacentral:tRNA from 1 species